rnacentral:rRNA from 1 species
AACGAACGCUGGCGGCAUGCCUAACACAUGCAAGUCGAACGAGACCUUCGGGUCUAGUGGCGCACGGGUGCGUAACGCGUGGGAACCUGCCCUUAGGUUCGGAAUAACUCCCCGAAAGGGGUGCUAAUACCGGAUAAUGUCUUCGGACCAAAGAUUUAUCGCCUUUGGAUGGGCCCGCGUUGGAUUAGCUAGUUGGUAGGGUAAAAGCCUACCAAGGCGUCGAUCCAUAGCUGGUCUGAGAGGAUGAUCAGCCACACUGGGACUGAGACACGGCCCAGACUCCUACGGGAGGCAGCAGUGGGGUAUAUUGGACAAUGGGCGAAAGCCUGAUCCAGCAAGGCCGCGUGAGUGAUGAAGGCCUUAGGGAUGUAAAGCUCUUUUACCCGGGAUGAUAAUGACAGUACCGGGAGAAUAAGCACCGGCUAACUCCGUG